UGUUGCUAAAAGUGAAAUACUUCAGUGUAAAGAAGUACAUCAAAUUGCAUUCAGGCUUCACCUUUUUGGAAUUAAUCACUGAAGUCAAAAGUAAGUUUGGGCUUUCUGAUGCUGCUCAACUUGAGAUUUUCGAUGAAACUGACACAGCUGUUGACGAAGACAUUCUUCUUGAGUUAUUGGAGGCUCAUCCAGAUCUAUGCCUGACAGUACGUGAAAGGAUUACAGAUGAAGCUCAUUCAACCCCAUCUUCCCCGGAUACACACUCUUCCCUCACGGACACCAUGUCACUUUCUUCAAGUGACAGUGACCUAAGGGAUCAGGGUAUUCCCACAGGCCGGAGUAGAUCCAGCAAAGAAGACAUGGGUAGUUCUACAGGAAAAGUUUCUGUGUCAGAGGCUGCAAAAGAGAUGGUUGAAAAUGCCUUGCUUAGGAAGCCUGGAGGAGAGGAUAUUCUUGAAGAGUACAAGUCAGAAAAUUCACUGAGCCACCGCACCCGGAGACAGCUUGUCAACAUACUGGCAAGUGAUAUGACCGAGAGACAUGGGAUUCCCAGCCGUCAGCAGAGGGAGAAGUAUGCCCUGGGAAUUAUUACGC